UACGGAGGGGGCUAGCGUUGUUCGGAAUUACUGGGCGUAAAGCGCACGUAGGCGGCUUUGUAAGUUAGAGGUGAAAGCCCAGGGCUUAACCCUGGAAUUGCCUUUAAGACUGCAUCGCUAGAAUCGUGGAGAGGUGAGUGGAAUUCCGAGUGUAGAGGUGAAAUUCGUAGAUAUUCGGAAGAACACCAGUGGCGAAGGCGACUCACUGGACACGUAUUGACGCUGAGGCGCGAAAGCUAGGGGAGCAAACGGG
rnacentral:rRNA from 1 species